UGGCGAAUGAACAGGGAUGAGCUCGGUAUGUAAAUUUGGGCUUCUGGUCCUGAGUUGUAGUCUGGAGAUUUGAUGCCAACGGAGGCGCAGAUGUAAGCCCCUUGGAAAAGAGCAUCAAUGUGGGUGAGAAUCCUGUGUGUCAUUUGCAGCCCCCUGUGUACGGUGUCGCUUCUCAGAGUCACGUUCCUUGGAAUUGGAGCGCAAAGUGGGUGGUAAAUUUCAUCUGAAGCUGAAUAUUGGCUUGAGACCGAUAGCAAACAAGUACCGUGAGGGAAAGGUGAAAAGGACUUUGAAAAGAGAGUUACAAGUGCCUGAAAUCACUGAAAGGGAAGCGAAUGGAACCAGAGUUUGUGGUAAGAUUGUUGCAUACUUUCACAUGCGAUGUUUCUUGCCUUGUGGGCCAACACCAGUUCGCAGUUGAGGACAACUUCGAGAGCAUGGUAGUCUGCUUCUGGGUGGUUGAGCGCUCUCGCCUGAGCUCAAUCGUGAACUGGGCUCACUGAUGCCUUGUUGCAAUGUGGUUGCCCACAUCUCCAAGGCAUGCCAAUGAUGACCAAAUGGUUCUUUUCGGCCCGUCUUGAAACACGGACCAAGGAGUCUAACAUAUGUGCAAGCUUGUGGGUCGGAAGCUUGCCUGCGCAAUGAAAGUGACUGCUGGGAUAUUUGCGCCAGCAACUGACUGAUCAAUUGAGAAAAAUUUGAGUGUGAGCACAUCUGUUAGGACCCGAAAGAUGGUGAACUAUGCCUGAGAAGGGCAAGCUCAGGGGAAACUCUGAUGGAGGCUUGUAGCGAUACUGACGUGCAAAUCGUUCGUCAUACUUGGGUAUAGGGGCGAAAGACUAAUCGAACCAUCUAGUAGCUGGUUCCCUCCGAAGUUUCCCUCAGGAUAGCUGGAGUUGAACAGUUUUAUCAGGUAAAGCGAAUGAUUAGAGGAAUCGGGGACGCGUUGUCCUCGACCUAUUCUCAAACUUUAAAUGGGUAAGAUCCAGUGGUUUCUUAGCUGAACUUCUGGGAUGAAUGACAGCUCUAAGUGGGCCGCUUUUGGUAAGCAGAAUUGGCGAUGAGGGAUGAACCUAACGUUGGGCUAAGGUGCUUAACUGCACGCUCAUCAGAUACCAUAAAGGGUGUUGGUUCAUUUUAACAGCAGGACGGUGGUCAUGGAAGUCGAAACCCGCUAAGGAGUGUGUAACAACUCACCUGCCGAAUGGACUAGCCCUGAAAAUGGAUGGCGCUCAAGCGGGUGACCGAUGCCCAACCAUUG
rnacentral:rRNA from 1 species